CCUACGAGAUGCAGCAGUGGGGAAUAUUGCACACUGGGGGGAACCCUGCUGCAGCGACGCCGCGUGAGUGAAUAAGUAUUUCGGUAUGUAAAGCUCUAUCAGCAGGGAAGAACAUGACGUUACCUGACUAAGAAGCCCCGGCUAACUACGUGCCAGCAGCCGCGGUAAUACGUAGGGGGCAAGCGUUCUCCGGAUUUACUGGGUGUACGGGAGCGCAGACGGCUGUGCAAGUCUGGAGGGAAAGGCGGGGGCCCAACCCCCGGACUGCUCUGGAAACUGUAAAGCUGGAGUGCAGGAGAGGUAAGCGGAAUUCCGAGUGUAGCGGUGAAAUGCGGAGAUAUUAGGAGGAACACCAGUGGCGAAGGCGGCUUACUGGACUGCAACUGACGUUGAGGCUCGAAAGCGUGGGGAGCAAACAGGAUUAGAUACCCCUGUAGUC
rnacentral:rRNA from 1 species